GGACGGGUAGCUCAGUCUGGUUGGAGCAAUGGUCUUAUAAGCCAUAGGUCGCGGGUUCAAAUCCCGCUCUGUCCA
rnacentral:tRNA from 1 species